rnacentral:rRNA from 1 species
CACGUAGGGUGCAAGCGUUAAUCGGAAUUACUGGGCGUAAAGCGUGCGCAGGCGGUUGUGUAAGACAGAUGUGAAAUCCCCGGGCUUAACCUGGGAACUGCAUUGGUGACUGGCAGGCUUUGAGUGUGGCAGAGGGAGGUAGAAUUCCACGUGUAGCAGUGAAAUGCGUAGAGAUGUGGAGGAAUACCGAUGGCGAAGGCAGCCUCCUGGGCCAACACUGACGCUCAUGCACGAAAGCGUGGGGAGCAAACAGG